UACAGAGGUCCCGAGCGUUUGUUCGGAAUUAUUGGGCGUAAAGCGCGCGCAGGCGGUCUUUUAAGUCUGAUGUGAAAGCCCACGGCUCAACCGUGGAGGGUCAUUGGAAACUGGGGGACUUGAGUGCAGAAGAGGAAAGUGGAAUUCCAAGUGUAGCGGUGAAAUGCGUAGAGAUUUGGAGGAACACCAGUGGCGAAGGCGACUUUCUGGUCUGUAACUGACGCUGAGGCGCGAAAGCGUGGGGAGCAAACAGGG
rnacentral:rRNA from 1 species